rnacentral:lncRNA from 1 species
CUUAAUAUUUUAUUUCAUAAGGCAUGUGCCUAAUUAGCCAAGUGGGCAAGUGGAUUUAGUGUAGAGAUUUUGGGAGACAAGCAAUUAAUGAAGAAGAUUUCAUUUGAUCUUGAGGAUCAAAGGGUAUCAAAACAAAACAAAAUUUUCUCUCAUCUCUCACCCUCAACCUCUCGCCCCUCUCUCUUUCUCUCUCCCUCAUCUCUCUUUCCUCCAUGAACCUCCAUUAGAGAGACCUUCCAAGCUUCCCAAAAUCACAUCUAUGGCAUAAUCCUUCACUAAAUCAAGCCCUAAACACUUUCUACACUUGAUUUCAAAGAGAUUUUAGAAGGUUUGAGCUUGAAGUUUAGAGAGAAUAAAUUCUACUUUUCCUUAAAAAUUUUGAGUAAGUGUUAGAUAUCUCUAGAUCUAACCAUAUUUGAGUUAGAUAUGUGUAUUUAUGCAUGAUUGAAGCAAGAAAAACACCCCCUCUCUUUUUCCCCUAAUUUUCGAAAAUCAAGAGGGUUUCCCCUUCAAAAACAUUUCUUAUUCUUUUCCUAAAUUAGGAUGAGAUUUAUGCUUACCAAGGUGAUUUAAGAUGAUUGCUAUGUGUGUUGAAAAGCUAUGUCAUGUGAUGCAAAUUUUCACUUAGGUUAGUUUACCUAAAUUUGGGAUAAUUUGAUUUUAUGGCUUAAGUGAUGAAUUGAUGAUUGAUAAUUGCUAUUGAGGAUAUUAAUACGAUAUUAGAUGGAUUGGAUUGAUGAUUGAGAUGGAUGGAUGGAACUUGAUGUGAGUUAGUUUGUUAGAAAUUAGGGAUAUUUGGUUAUGAGCUUCAUUAUAUAAAUUGAUGAUUUAUAUAUGCUAUUGAGAUGUCUAAUAUGAUGAAUUAUGAGUGAGAUUGAAGAUUGUAAGUGAUUUGCAAAUUUCGGUGAGAGUUAGUUUGAUGUGAUUUGGGUAAAACUUAUUCUAUGGUUUAAUUGAUUAAUUGAUUGGUUAAUAAUGCAAUUAGGUGAUUCAAUUUGAUUAAUCAAAGGUUGGAUUAAUGAUUUAUGCAUGUUUAUAAAUUUUCAAAAAUUUUAGUUUGAUAUAAAUUAAGGCUUUUUGAUUUAUGUGUUAAUUAUGCAAAUUGGCUAAGUUUAAUUGUUAUUAAGCAUGAUAGAAAUGAUAAUUAGGGAUCAUUUUUGUUAAUUGUUAAGAAUAACUAAAAUUGGUUAAGUUUAGUUUACUAUUAAUUGGGAACUUUUGAUUAAUGAGAUAAAUACUUGAAUUGAUGAUGUUUAUGUGUUAGUUAGACUACUAGCAAGGAGAAAGCCGAAUGAAUCAAAUACUCGAAAUGAAUCAUCCCCUAAAUGUGACAUGCUUGACGAGUAUAAAGGGAAGAUCACUAAUAUGCUAUGAUGAUAAGUUGAGCUUAUAUAUGCAAUAUGAGACGAAAUGAAUCAUCCCCUAAAAACCUAUAUGUUGGCCGAAUGUGACGAGUAUAAAGGGAAGUCGAUGUUUGAUUUUUCUUAUGUUAUAUGAUUAUGUAUUUAUGUUCUUGAGUGUUAUAAGAGCUUGAUAUGAAUUUUUGAUGAGUUUUCAUCAAAGAAGUCCGGAGUUUCGGCACAAUUGUUUUAUGUUCAAGUUUGGAGUCAUUUUAUGACCUUUUCUACCUACUGUUUCGUUGGGUUCUUGAUACCCAAAGACCUUGAAAAUUUUAUGGUAAGUAUAUAUGAGAAUCUUUAACAUACCGGUAAAAUUUCAAGUCAUUUGGACCUUGUUUACUAUUUUUCUAAAAUAUAAAACCCCAACUGCAAUAUUCUACCGAAAAUGUCGAAGAGCAGCCAAGAGUCACCUUUUUCAGUAGCUUCCCCUAACGUUUUGAUUUCCAAAUUUUUAUGGUGAAGACAUUAGUGUGUUAGCUAACAACCCACCAAAUUUCAAACCUUUUCGGAAACGUUUACUAUUUUUCAAAAAUCAAAACGUGCGAUUGCUCAAAACGGCCGAAUGUGGUAGACUGUAGGAGAACAGCCAUAUCUUUUGAACUACUUGGAGUUUUUCAUCCUACUUUUUUUUAAAAUAAAACUAGACUCAAAGAGGUUUCCAAUGAUAUAAGUCUCGACCGCAGUGGAGUUCCGAAGUGAAACUGGUUAAGUUUUUAAUUUGAGAAAAUGCAGAAUGAUGUUUGUAUGUGAUAUGUAUAUGUGUUUCUAUGUGCCUUAUGUGUCUAUGUAUGUCUAUGUGCUUGAUUGUUAUUAGUCUAGCCCUACUUGAGUGACAAGUCAAGAGUAGGAUUUGUGAUUUCUUAGGAUAUAUGUAUAUACUGAGGAGAUUGAGAUAGUUGGAGUAUAUAGAAGAUGAGUGAUGGGAUAACAUUGAGAUAGGAAUGAUAUACAUAGUGAGGGAGUUCCUGACUAGUUUUAUUUAUCUUAUCUCAUGAACCACUCCGACGUUGUGACAUCUGAAGAUACGAGCAAAGGACGAAAGUAAGAUCGCCCAAGUACUACGAGAGUAAGCUAAGUUUGUCAGGUGGGCAUUAUUUUGAGUAUACAUAUUAUACGAGCUUUCUCAAAUGAUAUGAUAUUUAUGAUUAUGAUUUGAGUUAAUGUUAUGCUUGAAACUAAUUGACUUGCCGAGUUUUGUUGUUAAUGAUUUGUGUGUUAGCCUCUACUGAUGAGACGAAUUCGGUCCUGCCACAAACGAGAUUUUGUGCACAGAGGUGACUGUGAGCCGUCUAUCGGGUCGGCCGAUCACGGUACUUGAGAGGAAGGCCUCCUUCUUAGUACCUUUAAUGAUGAGUUGUAAAUGUGGUACAUACAUGCUAAGUAUUUUGACUGCAGUCGCUUAUUUAUGAUGCUUAUGAGUUACAACUACUUACACAGGUUCUUUCCAACUAAAUCCAUGUGUAUUGCUUAUGUGGCAAGUUCAAUUUAUAGCUCUAAGAGCAAGCUUUUAUUUAUUUUUCGGCAUAUGUCCACUGAGUACUUUGUACUCAGCCCUGCAUGUAUUUCUAAAUGUGCAGGAUAAGCGAGGAGAAGGAAGAUCGGUCUGGUGCUGGCAGGGACUUAUUUUGGACGACGUUGUUUCUUUUACCAUAUUUCUACUUCAUACGGUAGCCUUUUGACGUUGGAUGUUUAUAUUUUGAACUUAAUCAGGAAAUACACUCUCGGCUAUAUGUCUUCAUACAUAUAGUCUGAUCACGUUUUGCUGCGAGACUCUGUAAAUUAUAAACCUUUGUAAAUUUUUAACUAUGUCCGCUUUGUAAACUUUGUCGAGAAUCCCUGUACUUUUGAACUUAUGAAGCCGAUAAUAUUUGUGUCUUUGAGAUGAUGUUAUUGUUGUUCAUCUUUGCAUGUUUUGUUGUGAGCUUCCGCUUGUUGUU